GGGUGUUUUUCUCUCAUGGUGAAUCGGGCUCAGUGUUCCCUAAUCGGGCUCAGUGUUCCCUACUAGUCUGCUUUUCAUUCAUGUUUUCUGCCCUCUCUGUGAAAUAGUUUUAGAGACUCUAUGAGCUAGUUACAUUGGUGGUGCCUUCUUCAGAAAAACCCUGGUGGCACUAUUUCACUGCGAAGCGCUUUGGAAGUGACUCGAGUUCAGAAGACAGUAGGUGGAUUCUAAGCUCCCUUCCAAGCACUGGAGGAAAAAAAAUAAAAAGGCCUCAGAAGCCCAAGCGCACACAGGUCAGCCUGACGUUGAAGAAGGUUCUUAAGUAUUUGGAAGACUGAAAAAAGGGCUGUGUGAAAAAGGUGCCUUAAUGUGAAUACAGAUUUUUGCCUUGUGGUCAAAAGCAGUAUGAAGAAAGUCUGUCAUCUUCCCCUCAGGCCUGGGUCUCUGCUGGGGACUGCUUCCUGAAGAGAUCCUGCAACUUAAAGAGAAAUAAAUUUCGUCCCAAGCUCUAUGAACCAGAGUCUCAGCUAUCAGGGGUCUGCCGGUAGCUGACAAGGUAGAAAGAUGACCUCUUCUCUUUCAUUCUUGUGAAGUUAGAGGCAGUACCCAUUUGAACUGUGGCUGAGGCUCUACGAUGCUUAGCUGUACUUCAGUGAGAAGAAUGUCUUCUGAUGUGAACUGAAAUUAUACCUCUAUGCCACAAUGUCCCUCUUAUUUAUUUAUUUAAUAUUUUUUUU